UAGGUACCGUCAACCAGACGGCCUAUUGGACCAUCUGACUUUCUUCCCUAACAACAGAGGUUUACGACCGAAGGCCUUCAUCCCUCACGCGGCAUUGCUCCGUCAGGCUUUCGCCCAUUGCGGAAGAUUCCCU
rnacentral:rRNA from 1 species